UACGUAGGGGGCAAGCGUUGUCCGGAAUCAUUGGGCGUAAAGAGCGUGUAGGCGGUCCGUUAAGUCGGCUGUGAAAGUCCAAGGCUCAACCUUGGGAUGCCGGUCGAUACUGUCGGGCUCGAGUCCGGAAGAGGCGAGUGGAAUUCCUGGUGUAGCGGUGAAAUGCGCAGAUAUACAGGAGGAACACCAAUGGCGAAGGCAGCUCGCUGGGACGUGACUGACGCUGAGACGCGAAGCGUGGGGAGCAAACAGG
rnacentral:rRNA from 1 species